ACGCACGCUGGCGGCGUGCUUAACACAUGCAAGUCGAACGGAAAGGCCUGCUUUCCCUUGUGGAUUGCGGGUACUCGAGUGGCGAACGGGUGAGUAACACGUGAGUGAUCUGCCCCCAACUUGGGUAUAAGCCUGGGAAACUGGGUCUAAUUCCCGAUAGGACUGCAGGGUGGUGCCUGUGGUGGAAAACGAUUUUCUAGUGGUUGGGGGUGAGCUCGCGGCCUAUCAGCUUGUUGGUGGGGUAAUGGCCUACCAAGGCGGCGACGGGUAGCCGGCCUGAGAGGGUGGACGGCCACAUUGGGACUGAGAUACGGCCCAGACUCCUACGGGAGGCAGCAGUGGGGAAUAUUGCACAAUGGGCGGAAGCCUGAUGCAGCGACGCCGCGUGGGGGAUGACGGCCUUCGGGUUGUAAACUCCUUUCGACCGCGAGGAAGCCACCUGGUUGGAAGGGUGGUGACGGUAGUGGUAGAAGAAGCACCGGCUAACUACGUG
rnacentral:rRNA from 1 species